rnacentral:misc_RNA from 1 species
AAGUCGUAACAAGGUUUCCGUAGGUGAACCUGCGGAAGGAUCAUUAACACGUAUCGUUAAAACAACCCCGUGAACUUUCAGCUUGCUCCUGUAGCCCGUGACAGCAGCAAUCCCUGGUAAAUCAUUGUUGACCAGCUUUUGAGUCAGAGAUGGGCUGAAGGAUGGCCACGGCCGGCGACACAACUACAGUCUAACCUCGCCGCGCGUGAAAUUCGCACGGCACCAAAAACCGAACAACUGUUAACAAUGGAUAUCUUGGUUCUC